GUUCCCCUUUCUCCACAUCCUCCCCAACAUUUGUUAUUUGUGGUCUAUUUGAUGAUAGCCAUUGUAACAGGUAUCAGGGCAUCCAGCUGUCCCUGGAGACCUUUAAGAUGCCAAUCCACAGGGGAGAGAGGGUUCUUGUUUUUGAGGUUAAAGAGAGAAAGCAUCUCACCUCUGAAUGGUUUCUUCCUGUUCCUUAACCAUGUGUGCCAACUGCUGAAAGAUGGAGCCCAGCUCAACAAUUGUGGACUCAAUGUUCUGCAUGGUGUCUGCCCGGCUCUGGAUGUAGGAAUCCUUCAGAGGAGAGAGAGUGCACGUGAGCACUGGGAGCUUCUUCAGGGUAGGGCCUGCCUCCUGAGGACCCUCCAGAUUGCCAUUCCACCCAUGGCACCUUCCAAACACUUGCUUGUGGCCCACAAAGGAAGACAGAAGAACAACUCCUGCCCAGCUCAGAGCCUGGGUACCUGCUCGUCAAUGAGCUGCAGCUGCUGGCUGGUCCUAGGGUCCAUCAUGUCGAUGGCCACAUCCCCAGAGGCUCGGGACUCUGCCCCUAAAACCACAGCACCGCCCCCUGGGGGAAAAAAGAAGACAUGACACUUCUUAGGGGUUAAAAGGUUCAACGCCCACAUGCACUGGAUUUCAAUCCCAGCUCUGGCACUUACUAGCCUUGUGACCCUGGACAUGUCAUUUAACCUCUCUGAGCCUCAGAUUCCUCAUCUGUAAAAUGGGGAUAAUGACAGUUGCUUUCUCAAAGGGUGAUUGUGAAAAUUAAAUGACAGAAUGUGAGUAAAAUGA